rnacentral:rRNA from 1 species
CUAACAAGGAUUCCCCUAGUAACGGCGAGUGAAGCGGGAACAGCUCAAAUUUUAAAUCUGGCUGCUUCGCAGUCCGAGUUGUAAUUUGAAGGCGUCUGUCGCUUGUGAGACGAUGGCACAAGUCCUCUGGAACGUGGCAUCGUAGAGGGUGAGAAUCCCGUCUCUGGUCGUUGUCUUGCAGGCACACGGCAGGCAUCCGAAGAGUCGAGUUGUUUGGGAUUGCAGCUCCAAAUGGGUGGUAAACUCCAUCUAAGGCUAAAUAUUGGCGAGAGACCGAUAGCGAACAAGUACCGUGAGGGAAAGAUGAAAAGAACUUUGAAAAGAGAGUAAAACAGUACGUGAAAUUGUUGAAAGGGAAACGCUUGAAGUCAGUCGUGCCGGCGGGGAUUCAGCGAACUUCGCGGAGUGAGCGUAUUUCCUCGCAUGGCAGGUCAGCGUCAGUUUUGUGCGUCGUGAAAGGGCUCGGGUAAGGUGACUCUCUUCGGGGAGUGUUAUAGACCUGAGCAGAUGCGAUGCGCGGGACUGAGGAUUGCAGCGAACACCCCUCGGGGCGCGGCGACCGAUCCCUGCUCUGUCACCUUCGUCCGAUAGCGUGCUAACGGUUGGGGAGCGGCGGUUGCACCGGAUUGGCAAGCCAGCGGCUUUCGCUAAGGAUGC